rnacentral:rRNA from 1 species
UACAGAGGUGGCAAGCGUUGUUCGGAAUUACUGGGCGUAAAGGGCGCGUAGGCGGUUCGUUAAGUCCUGUGUGAAAUCCCCGGGCUCAACCUGGGAACUGCAUUUGUGACUGCAUAGCUAGAGUACGGUAGAGGGGGAUGGAAUUCCGCGUGUAGCAGUGAAAUGCGUAGAUAUGCGGAGGAACACCGAUGGCGAAGGCAAUCCCCUGGACCUGUACUGACGCUCAUGCACGAAAGCGUGGGGAGCAAACAGG